rnacentral:lncRNA from 1 species
UUUAUUGACGUAAUACAGCUCUCAACACUAGUUAGUAGUUUUGUGUAGGACUGUAGAGGGAAGGCUUGGAAGUGGGCAGUCAGCACUGGAAAUGAGUGAUGAUUAGUGAUGGAUGGGAAACGGAUACAAAUGAAUUAUUGUAUUUAUGGAUUAAAUAUGACGUCAUGAUAAAAAUUUAAUAGUGAGUAGAAAUAGAAUCCCAAUCCGUUAAUAUUAUUUAUACCUUGGGAAAUACAAGUAAAUCCCGUCAUUGCUCCUACUCCUUCUCAUCCAUCGACAAUCAUCAAUUUCAUGAUCCUCUUUUCUUUUCACAAUUUUAAAUCUACGUAAACAAUAACUAUUAUCAAAUUGCUCGGGCUCCUAACUCCCUUCUCCAGGAUCACUUACUCUCCCCCUGAUUCAAGCUCAAUUCUGGAUUGAAUCUGACAAAUUACAACAAUCAUCAUCAUUCAUAGGAUUAUGCUGGGACUCGUAAUAUAUAUAUCAUUCAUCCUCUUCACAUCCAAUCAACUGUUCAAACUUCAAAACGUAGGCUUCUAAGCAUUUUGAAGGAAUCACGAAAUACUAUUAAUAUGGUCGGUUACAAAGAAUCCUUGUCAUUCAUAUGCAGUCAAUUUCUUCAUCAAGAUGAGGACAUCGUCCCCGAAAAUUGUGCUGUGCUCACUUCGACCCUUCACUUGUGCUUCCCUCACUGUACCUCGGGAAACAACUCGUUACUUUGUAGUAAUUAACCAUCUUCCUAUUACUGAGAGGAUUUUGCAUCCUAACGAAUUGAAAUAAAAAUAUGGAUUUAAGACCAUUCCGAAAUAAAACAUGAUUUUUAGUGGUUGAUAAAGAUAAGAGCCCGAUUGAUCUGUUGAGUUGUCGAGCUUUGAGGAUUGCAUAGGAUAAGGAAAUCUUCACAGUUUGAGAUUUAAGUCAAAUUCAAACUCAGAAAGUCCAUACCUUGAAUGGAAGAUUGGACAUCGAUACCUAUGAAAUUAUAAGGAACUUCCUUCUUAAAGAGCGAAUCGAAAUAGAUUAGAUUAAUUCUUGUUUUUCUAAACAUAAAUGAAAAAAAUACAUACUUAAAGUCAA